AGUCCUCCUCCAGUCUCCCUUUUACCUCAUUUAACAGACGAUUUACUUAACAAAAGGCACAUCUCAAUAAGUGGCCUUUCCUCUUUUGUUCCUCGAGCAAGGGGAGGCUAAUGACGUCAAAUUUGACCAUCAUGCCAACUAUUGAGCAGUUGUGUCUAGAAAACACUAUUUCGCUCAAAACAUAUGUUUUACACUUUGGUGUGUGUACACUUUACUGUAUUUAUACUUGGGACAUUGUUUUUCAACAGGAAAAGUUUUUAAAAAUCGCUGGUUGACAUCGUAACUGUUUUUGUUAUGAAAAACCCCAGAGCUCAAACGCUUAUCUAUCAUCUGUGGUAUGGGAUCUUUACAAACAGCCCUUGACCUCAAUCUGUUUACAGUAAAUGCCUGGAAGGCUUCGGGUCUUGUGAUGACUGAGGUGAAAUAUUAAACAUGAACUAAGUGCACCUGUACUUGAUAUUCCAGAAUAACUGGUCUCUACAAACUGGGCACUCGCAAGAGCUGCCAAAGAUAACAGUGAUGGAUGUACAUCGUCUGGCUCAGACAAGUAGCAAAGCACCGAACUCCAAGUUGGAAAAAGGAUUCAAACUUUGUCUCCAGUUACCUUUUCAACUAUGAAGGUUGUACUGAAGCCGGUAACAAUCACACAUCACUGUUCAUGUGUUGCUGGCACCUCAUUAUGCAACCACACAGUUGCGUUACUAUUCCAGUCUGCACACUAUUCCCGGAUGGGGACACCAGUCAUCCCACCUGUGCACGGAGGCCGAACAGCAGUGGCAUAAGCCAAGGACAAUGAAUAGUGCCCUUGUACUGUCUUUUUACAGGGUCUGCAACCUGGGCCCAUAGGCAAAAUGACCAUCACCUACCCCACCAAAAAGCGCACGGCAGAAGGAGGGAUUAGAAGUACUCUACAGCGCCCUUCUUGGACCACUCCCCGACCUCUCAGUUCUCCAGAUAGAAGAGGCAUACAAAAACUUUGACCCUCUAUCCAAGCCAUUGAUCUGCAGCAUGGGGAUGUCUGCUGAAAAGCUUUUAGUCGGCUCCCACUUUGGAAAGGUACAGGUGGGGAGCCUCCUGUCUUACCAGCAGCCUCCAAUCACAACGUGACACAUAGUUCACCAUAAGGAGACACCACCAUUCCCUUCACUGCCCCUGGAUGGCUACAGACUAGAGAGCGACUGUCAAGGCUGCACAUGUGUGCUCAGUGAAGACGACCAGCUUCACAUAGUCUCUUCAGGUGAGAGAAUACAUAAAGACCCAGUGGUGUUCUCACUAAUUAGAGAGAAGGGUACUACUUGUGUACAUGCAAAAGUUCUUAGGCAGGAAAGACUAAAUAACAAGGGAUGGGCUCCUUUAUCUUUCAAUUAAUGAAGGGGAAACAAAACAAAUCUGUCUGCAAUUAAUAAUAAUUUUUAAAUCAUUGUUACAUGUUUCUGUUCUCUUGUCACUGUAAAUAAAAACUCUAUAACAUUGUUUGGAGUAUAAGCAGAGGUGUUUAUUAUCAAUAAAUUGACUACUACAGGAUGUUAGACAACGUGGAUGGUCACAGCAAAAGAAGGAAAGAUGCAAUGCAGUAGUAGCUCAUUGCUCCUUGGCCCAUGCCUUCACAAGAGGCCCACACUGGUAGUUUUGUGAGAAGGCAAGCCACAGCCCAGAUGUCACUGAUGGGAAGCAUCAACUGCAUGAGGAUCUCUUGGACAGGGUAGUUAUUCCACUGGAAUAGCAAAGGUAUUGCUCCCUUCUUCAGACAUCGAAGCCCACUAGAAGGUUCAAUGAAAUCUUAAUUUCCUAACUUUCAAUAAAGAUACCGCAACAACUAAUAACGUUAACGUCGUUAGCACUAAC
ensembl:lncRNA